rnacentral:rRNA from 1 species
GACGAACGCUGGCGGCGUGCCUAAUACAUGCAAGUCGAGCGAAGCGGCGGAUGGGUGAGUAACGCGUGGGUAACCUGCACUUAAGUCUGAGAUACCAUUUGGAAACAGAUGCUCAUACCGGAUACUAAAGGAUGGACCUGCGAUGCAUUAGCUAGUUGGUAAGGUAACGGCUGACCAAGGCUAUGCUGCAGAGCCGAGUUGCGAGACUGAUCGGCCACAUUGGUAAGCAGACACGGCCCAAACUCCGACGGGAGGCAGCAGUAGGGAAUCUUCCACAAUGGACGAAAGUCUGAUGGAGCAACGCCGCGUGAGUGAAGAAGGUGUUCGGAUCGUAAAGCUCUGUUGUUGGUGAAGCGGUAAUCAACCAGAAAGUCACGGCUAACUACGUGCCAGCAGCCGCGGUAAUAC